UUCCCAGACUAUAUAAUAUAUAAAGUUGCCGUUAGACCUAAGUGGUAACAGAGUGACUUUUAACAAGUAUCUACUUUGCUUUAUUACAGACGGCGUAUGUCUCACACCAGGAUGCGUCAUGGCAGCUGCACGUGUUAUGGGGGCAAUGGAUAUGAAGGUAAAUCCAUGCGACGAUUUUUACCAGUUUGCAUGUGGAACGUGGGUUCGACAGCACGUGAUUCCAGAGGAUAAAAGUUCAUAUGGUACAUUUACAAAACUCAGGGAUGAUGUAUCUGUCAUCGUGAAGUCUGUACUGGAAGAGUCUAAUGCUGAUGCCGAUCCAGACGCUGUCACGAAAGCAAGAAAUUAUUACAAAGCUUGUACAAAUGAAGAUAAGAUAGAAGAACGAGGGUUGACCUUCAUACAUCAGUAUAUGGAAGGGUUUGGUGGCUGGCCAGUACUUGGAUCAAAGGCCGGUGGAAAGUGGAAUCAGAGUUCAUUCAACCUUGAAGAUUUGCUCAUUUAUACAAGAAAGGGAACAAAUUACAUACCCCUUAUUGAUGUCGGGGUUACCCAGGAUGACAAAAAUCCAACAAAACAUAUCCUUUAUAUCGAUCAACCCGACUUAGGAAUGCCAAGCCGUGAUUAUUAUCUUAAAGGACGUGACGAUAAGACACUGAUGGCUUACCAGACCAUGAUUCAAGACAGUGCUGUUGCUUUUGGAGCUAAUAUCGCUGAUGCUUCUAAUGAUGCUAAAGAAAUAGUUGACUUGGAAAUAGAACUUGCAAAUAUUACUGUUCCCAAAGAAGAAAGAAGAGAUCCAGAAAAAUUGUACAACAAGAUGACACUUGGAGAACUGGGCAACAAUUUUACAGGGGUAGAAUGGACGAAACUUAUUCGAGGCAUGAUGCAGCAUGUCGGAUUAUCACUGGAUGAUUCUGAACCUGUUCUCGCCAUUGCUCCUCCAUUCCUCGAGAAAAUUGGAAAUCUUAUCCAAAGAUACUCUUCUAGGGUCAUUGCGAACUAUGUAGUAUCCAGACGAGUUUUAGGAAAAACGUUUUACCUUCCAAAAGAAUUUACGGAUAUCAAGUUGAAAUACAGAAAGGUUCUAACUGGGUCAGCAACAGAGCCCCCUCGGUGGCAGUCUUGCUCUGACAAUGUAAAGGACACGAUGCCAGAAGUUGUUGGCCGAUUGUUCGUUGCAGAUGCCUUUAAAAAAGAUGCUAAAACCGACGUAUUAGAUUUAGUUGGAAAACUCAGGAUAGCAUUUAAAGGUAUGAUAGACAACCUACCAUGGAUGGAAAGUGCGACAAAACAAGUUGCAAAAGAAAAGGCUGAUUACAUUGAGCCAAGAAUUGGGUACUCGGACCUUGUCUAUAACGACACUGCUCUUAAUAUACUGAACGAAAAUUUCACGGUGUAUGCUGAUGAUCCAUUGAGAACGUUGAUCAGUGCAGGAGAGGCCGCUGUCAUAAAACGACUUUAUGAUCUCAGGAAAGACGUUGACAAGAAUGAUUGGGAUAUGUCUCCAGCCACAGUGAAUGCCUACUACAACCCAGAAACCAAUCAAAUCACAUUUCCAGCAGCCAUACUUCAACCGCCAUUCUAUACACAUGAUCAGCCAGCGUAUCUCAAUUAUGGCGGUAUAGGUUAUGUUAUUGGACACGAAAUUACUCAUGGUUUCGAUGAUCAAGGUCGACUGUAUGAUAAAUCUGGUAACUUGCACAACUGGUGGUCAGAUACCGACGCCGAAAAGUUCAAAGCUCGAGCUCAAUGCAUAAUUGACCAGUAUAGUAACUUUACAGUACCAGGAACAGGGGGUAUGACGCUGAAUGGGGUGAACACACAAGGUGAAAACAUAGCUGACAAUGGUGGAAUCAAGGAAAGUUUUCAGGCGUAUCGUGAGUGGGUUAAAACAAGCCGCCAAGGUAAGGAAGAGGAUAAAUUACCUGGAAUGGAUUAUACACCAAAUCAAUUGUAUUUCCUUAAUGCAGCACAGGUAUGGUGCGAAAAUAUGAGAGACCAAGCCAAAGUUGAACGUAUUUUGACUGAUCCCCACAGUAUAGAUAUGUUCAGAUAUGGUGUAUCGACAUGAGAAAUCAACAAAAAAUAGAGCGAAUUCUAACGGACCCUCAUAGUAUUCAAGAAUUCAGAGUAUACGGACCUAUGCAAAACUUUGACGAGUUUUCCAAAGCCUGGAAAUGCCCUGUUGGAUCCUACAUGAACCCAUCUAACAAGUGUUCAGUUUGGUAGGCAAGGGAGACGUAAAACGUUGCGACAUUCUACAAUUGGAAGGAGGCUUUAAAUGUCGUCUGCUAUAAGAAAUAUUGACCAUUUGAUCAGUGCAAACAUUUUUAUGACUUUUAAAAUGAAGAUUUUUUGUACAUUAAAAUUCAAUUUUAACAAUAUAUUUGUUUAAGUUUUAAUUCUCCACUGUAAAAUGCGCGAAACAAAGUUCAGACUAUGUAUAAGAUAAACGUGAAAGUAUCA